GACGAACGCUGGCGGCGUGCUUAACACAUGCAAGUCGAACGGAAAGGCCCUGCUUUUGUGGGGUGCUCGAGUGGCGAAGGGGUGAGUGACACGUGAGUAUCCUGCCCUUGACUUUGGGGUAACUUCAGGAAACUGAGGCUAAUACCGGAUAGGAGAUCCUGCUGCGUGGUGGGGGUUGGAAAGUUUCGGCGUUUGGGGAUGGACGCGCGGCUUAGCAGCUUGCUGGUGGGGUGGGGGCGCACCCAGGCUUGGACGGGUAGCCGGCCUGGGAGGGUGACCGGCUACAGUGGGCUUGAGAAGCGGCCAGGACUCCAACGGGAGGCAGAGGCGGGGAAUAUGUCGAGAUGGGCGGAAUCCGUAAGCAGCAACGCCGGGUGGGGAAUGACGGCUUUCGGGGUGUAAACCGCUUUCGCCUGUGACGAAGCGUGAUGGACGUAAAUGGGUAAAGAACCACCGCUUACCUCCGG
rnacentral:rRNA from 1 species